rfam:Oryza nivara chromosome 7, whole genome shotgun sequence.
AAUAAGUGCAGUUUUACACUAUCACAUUCAACGUUUGACCGUUCAUCUUAUUUAAAUUUUUUUUAUGAUUACUAUUUUUAUUGCUAUUAGAUGAUAAAACGUGAAUAGUACUUUAUGUGUGACUAAAUAUUUUCAACAUUUUCAUAAUUUUUUUAAUAAGAUGGACGAUCAAACGUUGGGCAUAAAUAUCCACGGCUGCACUUAUU